rnacentral:misc_RNA from 1 species
UGGUUCUGGCAUNGAUGAAGAACGCAGCGAAAUGCGAUAAGUAAUGUGAAUUGCAGAAUUCAGUGAAUCAUCGAAUCUUUGAACGCACAUUGCGCCCCUUGGUAUUCCGAGGGGCAUGCCUGUUCGAGCGUCAUUAUAACCACUCAAGCCUAGCUUGGUAUUGGGGUUCGCAGUCUCGCGGCCCUUAAAAUCAGUGGCGGUGCCGUCUGGCUCUAAGCGUAGUAAUUUUUCUCGCUACAGGGUCUGGUGGUUACUUGCCAUUAACCCCCUAUUUUCUUAGGUUGACCUCGGAUCAGGUAGGGGUACCCGCUGA